AACGCUAGCUACAGGCUUAACACAUGCAAGUCGCGGGGUAACGAGAGGGAAGCUUGCUUUCCUUGUCGACGACCGGCGCACGGGUGAGUAACGCGUAUGCAACCUACCUAUCAGAGGGGAAUAACCCGGCGAAAGUCGGACUAAUACCGCAUAAAACAGGGGCACCGCAUGGUGAUAUUUGUUAAAGAAAUUCGCUGAUAGAUGGGCAUGCGUUCCAUUAGGUAGUUGGUGAGGUAACGGCUCACCAAGCCGACGAUGGAUAGGGGAACUGAGAGGUUGGUCCCCCACACUGGUACUGAGACACGGACCAGACUCCUACGGGAGGCAGCAGUGAGGAAUAUUGGUCAAUGGGCGCAAGCCUGAACCAGCCAAGUAGCGUGCAGGAUGACGGCCCUAUGGGUUGUAAACUGCUUUUAUACAGGAAUAAAGUUAGCCACGUGUGGUUAUUUGUAGGUACUGUAUGAAUAAGGACCGGCUAAUUCCGUGCCAGCAGCCGCGGUAAUACGGAAGGUCCAGGCGUUAUCCGGAUUUAUUGGGUUUAAAGGGAGCGUAGGCCGGAGAUUAAGCGUGUUGUGAAAUGUAGACGCUCAACGUCUGCACUGCAGCGCGAACUGGUUUCCUUGAGUACGCACAAAGUGGGCGGAAUUCGUGGUGUAGCGGUGAAAUGCUUAGAUAUCACGAAGAACUCCGAUUG
rnacentral:rRNA from 1 species